rnacentral:rRNA from 1 species
GAUGAACGCUGGCGGCGUGCCUAAUACAUGCAAGUCGAGCGAACGGACGAGAAGCUUGCUUUUCUGAUGUUAGCGGCGGACGGGUGAGUAACACGUGGAUAACCUACCUAUAAGACUGGGAUAACUUCGGGAAACCGGAGCUAAUACCGGAUAAUAUUUUGAACCGCAUGGUUCAAAAGUGAAAGACGGUCUUGCUGUCACUUAUAGAUGGAUCCGCGCUGCAUUAGCUAGUUGGUAAGGUAACGGCUUACCAAGGCAACGAUGCAUAGCCGACCUGAGAGGGUGAUCGGCCACACUGGAACUGAGACACGGUCCAGACUACUAAGGGAGGCAGCAGUAGGGAAUGUUCCGCAAUGGGCGAAAGCCUGACGGAGCAACGCCGCGUGAGUGAUGAAGGUCUUCGGAUCGUAAAACUCUGUUAUUAGGGAAGAACAUAUGUGUAAGUAACUGUGCACAUCUUGACGGUACCUAAUCAGAAAGCCACGGCUAACUACGUG